AAGCCGAGAGAUGGUGGCGCCGGCUUUCACCUCCCGCUCUUCCCCCUCUUCCCUCUCAUCGCCCUGUUCUCUGUGCCGUCACUGGGCGCAGGCGAACUGGACGCAGUGCCACAUGCCCGCCCCUGCGCAUUCAGAACAGAAGUGCACAUCACAGCUACCCAUCACGUCUCCCUUCGCAUCAGGGCGUUCUCCCACCUGCGCGCUGGUCGUGUAUUUUGUGUGUGUGUGUGUGUUUGCGUGCUAUUUUAUGAACUCGCCGUGUGCAGAGCUCGCCGGUCACACACAAAAAAGCAGCCUUUGCGUGAUCGCAUAGCCCCGCCUAUUGCCGCCUACCAGUUGCGUCGAAACUCACUCCCGCAACUCCGCUUCCCUAGGUGGUUUUCGGCACCUUUAGGGCCAUCUCAGCAGUCUUGUGAUUCCUCAUCUGCCUUAGCGGUUCCUCUGAAUUUUCGGGUGACCGACGUGCGCGGCGGGCGAGGUUGUCCCCCCUCCCCCCCCCCCACACACACACGCGAAAAAAUAACAGGAUGCGACAGAUACGCUACCGGGCGCUGCACAACGGUGCUGAUGAAGACGCGCGAAGUCGCAACAGCAGCACCCCCAAUAUCUCCACGAGCAGCGCACAUGGUCCUCAGCUGCCACAGCGGCACUGCUGUCGGCCACGUGAUUUCGUGUUUGACGACUCCCUCAGCACUGGCGCGGCGGUGUCAGUGUUGGCCAUUCCACAGCAGAAGAAACACAGUGUGCGACGGUGGCUGCAGGAAAUGUUACAUCUGCCGAUCGCGCCGUCUCUCGACAACCGCCAAAUCCCGUUUGGCUACUUCCCUGGCGAAUGGUCGCCGGUCGGCUAUCCGAGCAACGCGGUGAGCAACCGUCGCUACACGCUCUCCACGUUUCUGCCGCUGGCGCUGCUCCGUCAGUUUCAGAACUUCUUUAACCUCUUCUACCUCUUUCUGGCCUUCUCGCAGGUCAUUCCAGUGCUGAAAGUUGGCUUCAUCUUCACUUACUUUUCACCGCUAGUAAUGGUGGUGUGCCUCUCGCUGAUGAAGGACGCGCUCGAUGAGUGGAAGCGAUUCCGGCGCGAUCGCAUCGCCAACGUCGAGGUGUUCGAGAAACUCACAGGCGGCGGCGACGUGGUCACGGUGCGGUCGUCACACAUUCGGGUAGGAGAUCUGCUCAUCCUGCAUCAAGAUCAACGGGUGCCGGCCGACUGCGUCGUGUUGCACACCUCCGAGAAGUCCGGCACGACGUUCAUUCGUACCGACCAACUUGACGGCGAAACGGAUUGGAAGCUGCGCUACCCGUUGAACUCUACCAAGGGUCUAGGAUACGCCGAACUUGGUGCGCUGCGCUUCAACGUGCACUGUGGCGCGCCUCACAAAGACAUCUACAGCUUCGCCGGCACCCUCGAACUGGCCAACGGACAGAGCGAGUCGAUCACGAUGGAGAAUGCCGUCUGGUCGUCGUGUGUGGUGGCGACGGGGACGCUGGUGGUUGCCGUCCUAUACACGGGUAGGGAGACGCGCAGCGCCCUCAACUCGACAAGCCCGCGUAACAAACUUGGCCUCAUCGAGCGCGAGCUCAACCUAAUCGCGGUUCUGUGCUUCGCGCUGCUUCUGAUCCUUUCCUUUCUUCUCGUAGCGCAACAGCAGUUCCGUGGCGACUUUGCCGUCAUGUUCGUGCGCUUCUUCAUCCUCCUCUCGUCCAUGAUUCCCAUCUCGAUGCGCGUGAACGUAGACGUCGGCCGCCUCUGGUACUCGUACGAUAUGUCGCAUGACCCCAACAUCCCUGGCGCCGUGGCUCGCAACGCAAACCUUCCGGAGGAAUUGGGUCGGCUGCGCUAUCUCUUCUCCGACAAGACCGGCACACUCACAAAGAACAAGAUGAAGUUUCGCGUGAUGCAGGUGGGACCGGACACGGUGCUAACGGACCGCUUCACUGAUCAGCUGGCGGGCGCGCUGCAGGAGUACUUUGGCACAGGCAACUGGGGAGCCGGGGCUCGGCUCAUGCUCAGCAACGUCUCCGCGCGAGUCAGCGUGAGAAAUUCGAAGCAAUGGAGCCGUGAUGUGCAGCGCGUUGGCGACCUUAUCAGAGCCAUUGUCCUGUGCCACAAUGUGAGCCCAGUGGUGAUGGAGGAGCCGUUGGCCCUUGGUACCGACGACGAAACAACGGCACUGGGUCGCGGUGCGGCUGCGGCUGUGCCGGCCACAACCGAUAUGAGGAGUCAGCCGACUGACUACCAAGCCUCCUCGCCAGACGAGGUUGCGCUGGUCAAGUUCUGCCGCUCCCUCGGUAUUGUCUUGACCUAUCGCGAUCUCACAACGAUCGCCUUCACCGUUGGCGGCGGUGCGCAGCUGCACACGUGCACAAUCGUCAAAACGUUCCCGUUCUCGUCGGAGCGGAAGUGCAUGGGCAUCAUCCUGCGCGAGCGCACUGGGAGCUGCAGUGGCGGCAGCUCACAGGAGACCGUCAAGUUCUACAUGAAAGGCGCAGACGUGAAGAUGGCGUCGGUGGUGCGCCAAUCGGAGUGGCUGGAGGAGUGUUGCCAGGAGCUGGCGCAGAUGGGCCUGCGAACGCUCGUGUUUGCCAGUCGAACGCUCAGCGAGGAGAUGCUCGGCGCCUUCCUGCAGCAGUACGAAGCCGCCAUUUCAAUCCUUGGUGAAGGUCGCGCAGCAGCAAUCGAGGCGGCGAUGAAGCUAUUGGAGACGGACAUGACGCUGACAGGGGUGACGGGGGUGGAGGACGAGCUGCAAGACGACGUUGUCGUCUGUCUCGAGACGCUUGGCAUGUGUGGCAUCAAGGUGUGGAUGCUCACGGGUGACAAGGUCGAGACUGCCAUCACCAUUGGCCGCUCGACUCGGCUCAUUCCCCGCCACUGCCGCAUCGAGUACCUGUGUGGGAUGGCCCCGGCAGACAUUGGUCACCGCCUGCACGAGCUGCAGGAGGAGUUUUGCUGGGGCGUGACGUGCGGCAGCAUAGUGCCGCCAUGGACGCUGGUUCUGGAUGGAAACGCCCUGGCGUACUGCCUCUCCCACGCCUCCUUCUUCGCGGACGUGGCCAGAACCGCCUACUCGGUUAUAGUGGCGCGAUGCUCCCCGACGCAGAAGGCUGCGGUGGUUACUGUAAUGCGUGAUAGCUGUCGUGACGCGCGCGUCGCGGCGAUCGGUGACGGAGGCAACGAUGUGUCGAUGAUUCAGGCCGCCAACGUGGGGAUCGGUAUUGAGGGGUUGGAGGGGAAGCAAGCAAGCAUGGCCGCUGAUUUCUCCAUUACGAAGUUCUCUCACUGUCUACGACUGAUCAUGUGGCAUGGGCGGAACUCGUACCAGCGCACGUGCCGACUCAGCCAGUUCAUCAUGCACCGCGGCAUCGUCUACUCGGUUGUGCAGACGGUCUUCUCGGUGCUGUUUGCCGGGACGACCAUGUCUGUCUUCAACGGUUAUCUACUAAUGGGGUACUCCACCGUAUUUACCAUGGCGCCAGCCUUCGCAUUGGUGCUCGACGAAGACUUCAACGAGUCGGACGUGCACGAGUACCCGUUUCUCUACAAAGAUUUGCUCAAGGCCCGCUCCAUGAACACCCGCACCUUUCUGCAGUGGGUGUGGGCAUCGUUCUUCCAAGGAGGGGUCAUGAUGCUGAUGGCGCUACAGCUCUUCAAGUCGGACAUGUUCCAGAUUGUCACGAUCGCCUACACAUCGCUCCUCAUCACCGAGCUGGCCAUCGUUGGCGCCACCGCGCAUCUUCGCAUUCUCUGGCGAGAGCGCCGUGCUCGCUUCUUUCUCUUCUUGUGCUCUGAGGUGGUGUCUCUGCUGAUGUUUUUCCUCGCCGUCGUCGUGUUGCCCGACACGUUCGAUAGAGACUUUUUCUUUUCGUGGAGCUGCUGGUGGCGCGUCGCGGUAAUCUGCCUAGCCAGCAUUGCACCACUCAUGAUAUUUCAAAUGGUUGGCAAGUACAUAUUGUUCAACCCGCGCAUCGCCGUUUCCUGCAUGGGAUGUCGGACGUGACACUUGUGCAUCCGUUCCAUGAUUGACGGCUGCAGAACCUUUUUUUUACCGUUCCUGCCUCGUGUUCGCUGUCUUAAAUCUGUGCUUCGACACGGUCGCUGCAGCGUUCCGUCACGCGUCUUUGUUUUCUUUCACUCCUUUGAAGCCGACAGAUGACGGAGGUAAGCGGAGGGCCAACAGCUCACCGUGCGCGGCAUCUCAGGGUCCAGUGCACUUCCCCACCCCUCCCCCCCGCACAAACACACACACACACACGCAUUAUGUCUGUGUGCGGAGGAGCGAAGCGGCCCCUUCCACCCCCCCUACCUCUGCUAAUGCCGAACUACCUCCGGCCGUGACAAGAUCCAGUACCCACAGCGUAGGGAUGUCAGUGCGAUGUAUCGCUGCUGACGCCGGCGGUGUAGUCGUGGAUGGGCGCGGCUGUGAUGCGACCAGCGAGGCACUGGUGGGUAGGGUUUGAGGCAAAGGCCACGCUCUCCGAUGGCCGGGUCGGCGCACUGCUGCAAGGCGCGUCUGUGCGACUGCUUCGCACGCACGCGACGUGCCCGCUGUGGCAGCCCCCGGGGGGGGGGGCGGGCGAUAGUGGUGAUUGCGUCGUUUUUGGAGGACAGAGAAAUGGACUCACAUUUCAAGCAAAAGAAAGGGCCGCCUAAAAAUCUCGUUGGGGCCGUUUAACGGCACUCUUCCCCACGGGGCUCACUCGUCCCUGCUUCCCCUUGCCUAACUCCCCCACCACCACCACCCCACUCCCACUCCACCGCAGCCUUCGCUCAUGUUUGUUGUGUGUUGUUUGGGGUUCGUUUUUUCCCUUUGCUGCCCUCCUUUCCCGUCUGGCCCGUCUCGCUCGCUUAUGGUAGCCGUGCAUCUCUUCUGUUGCGGCGCUCGCUGCCGCCCUCGGUCCGUCUGCACCACGCCCGUGCCGCACUUUCCAGGCAGAGAGAGCACAGCAAGCACGUGCAAGCAGGGGGCAGUCACAGGAAAGUGAAUAUGAAAAGAAAAGCGGAAAGAGAAGCCAC
rnacentral:misc_RNA from 1 species